CCGGGUACAUCGCCGAAUUCUGCCGGUGCCCGGGGUCCGCUGAAAAGACAUCGCUUGGCAGAAGCGGGGGAACCAUACACGGUCCCGCCCUUGGGGCCUGGGGGUUAAGCCGGCCGGACGCGCGCGUCCGCCCGGCCGGGUGUCUCCCACCCGCAUCCGACAGCUCACCUCGCAGGCAAAGGGAGGAAUC
rnacentral:sRNA from 1 species